UGUAUUUUGACCGCAUUUGUACCGUAGAAUUAUAUGGAAACCGGAUAUGAAAACACCUAUACUGGAGCCAACCGUAGUGGCGCUAGUGAGCAACCAGGAACAACAAGACCAGGAAAUGAGCUUCAAAAACGAAGUCCGGUUUUGGCCGCUUAAUUCGGACGCAGCCUUUUCGUCCGCUUACCUGUGGGUGGAAGCUUUUUUCGCGUAAUAGGUGCCUGCGUUCUUCCUUGUCCGUUCACCCGAUAUAUAAGCAGCUUGAAACACAGCAACUGACAACAGACAACAACAGACAACUUGUCACAAACAUAUACGUAUAGGAAUUGUAAGGUCAGCUAACCUUAUUUUUUUCCAAGUGGGAAAACUAGAAGACCUCCGUCGGUUAGCCUAGUCAAAGAUAGACGGACACACCCUGUCAAAGCCUGUGAGAGUAGACAGUAAACUGUAUGUAGCGAGAUCGUCAUCCAGUGCCGAAUUGCCCCAUUUUAUUCACUCGAACAGGGUAAUGUUUAUUAAAGUCGUCGUAAUAUGUUCACAUAUGUUUGGAUGGACAUGGAAUUUCACACGGUAGUUUAAUUACCAUAAAUACCGGACACCUAGGCUACUUCCAACCCCCACGUCUUUUCGAAAUUUUCAAUAAAAAGGACGGAACCAACGACGCAAAAAAGCGUGUCCGGGUUCUGGACGGUGUCCGACUAUGAGUAAAAUGAUAUCAUAUAGGCCUAGAGUAAUCUCUGCCUAACAUAAUCACUCCACUGUACAUUUUUCAUCAAUAUUGCAAACCACUUAAUUUUAGUAGGCCAAUGGGAAUGAUUCCCUCUAAAACAUGAAAAAAAGUAACAACCCCUUAAUUGUUUAAUUUAAAACAAAAUCAGGGUUUAUAGUGCAGUAAGUGUAAAAAUGUCAACAACAAGCGACAAGUCCUGUGACGUCCGUCUCACUAGGCUACCUCCUCACGUAGUAGAAGUGGUCAUGGAAUAUCAAAAAACUGAAGUAAACUUUCUUUUAAAGGUUAUUUUUAAAUUACUUUCUGGUCUAAAAGGUAUGUUUGGAUUCCGUAUGAGCUCUUAGCUUGUUAGGCUACGCAUUAAACUCGCUAUUUUAUUGCCAGUUAUCCGUUUUUCUGAAUUACGCGGGUUAAUGCGAUUAUACCUGCAGAUUCCCAUUCCUCCCCGCAGCCCUUUACCUUCAGCUUCUCUUACCUCAGUUCCACUCCACAACAGACUGUUUACUCCGUUUUUUACAUUUCAUUUUAUUCCUUCUUUCCUAGGAUUCCUUUCUUCUCCGUUUUUAAAAUGGCCGUUAAGCUUCCGUUUCUGUUUUGGACAUUUCCUUACUUACCUGUUUACCUGCUCAACUGAAUGUUCGAUGGGUGGAGUCAUCUGUUGUGGAGUGGAACUGAGGUAAGAGAAGCUGAAGAUAAAGGGCUGCGGGGAGGAAUGGGAAUCUGCAGGUAUAAUUUAUUAGCUGCAUCAGUCACGGUAUUUAAUAAGUUAUGCAGAAUAAACAAAUAUUUCAUCCAUGUAGAUCUUUGCCAAAUUUUAGCACAUACAGUGAGCACCAUAAUUCAUUGGACAGUGACACAUUUUUUGUUAUUUUGGUUCUGUACUCUAGCACUUUGAGUUUGAAAGGAUACAAUGACAAUGAGGUUGAAGUGCAGAGUGUCAGCUUUAAUUUGAGGGCAUUUUCAUCCAUAUCGGAUGAACCGUUUAGAAAUGACAGAACCUUUUGUACAUGGUCCCCCCAUUUUAAGGUACUACAAGUAUUUGUUGAAUUGGCUUCACAGAUGUGUUUCGUUAGGCAGGUGUAUUAAUUUGUGUCGUUAGUGAAUGCAGAAGAGAGCUGUUGAUGUCUCGUCUUGAUUCUAGACUUUGCAAUUGCCUUUGGAGAUUGUUGUUGGGGUGUGACAACAUAACGAAGACAGCAGUGUCGAUGCAAAAUAAGCUGGCCGUCAUAAGGCUCAGAAAUGAAAAUCAAUCAAUCAGGAACAUUGCAAAAACCCUGGGCAUGCCCAAGUCAACAGUUUGGUUCAUCAUUAACAAGAAAAAAAACAACCGGUGAAUUCAAUUAUGUCAAAAGACCCGGUAGACUGAGGAAGACCACUGUAGUGGAUGACCGGAGAAUACUCUCUAUGGUGAAGAAAACCCCCCUGACAACAGCCCAACAGAUCAAAAACACUCUCCUUGAUGCAGGUGUAGAUAUGUCAAAGUCUGCCAUACGUAGAAGACUACACCAGCAGGACUACAGAGGGUACACUACUAGAUGCAAACCACUGAUAAGCCUGAAGAACAGAAAGGCGAGAUUACAGUUUGCUAAAAAGCACCUAAAAAAGCCCCAAGAGUUCUGGAACAAAGUCUUGUGGACAGAUGAGGCAAAGAUUAACAUGUACCAGAGUGAUGGAAAGAGGAAAGUGUGGAGAAAAAAAGGAAAUGCCCAUGAUCCAAAGCAUACCACCUCAUCUGUGAAACAUGGUGGAGGGGGUGUUAUGGCUUGGGCCUGUAUGGCUGCCAGUGGAACGGGCUCACUUGUCUUCAUCGAUGAUGUGACUGCAGACAGAAGUAGAACAAUGAAUUAUGAAGUCUACAGAAAUAUUUUAUCUGCUCAGAUCAAACCAAAUGCCUCAAAACUCAUUGGACGGCACUUCAUCAUGCAGCAAGACAAUGACCAAAACAUACUGCUAAAAGUGGAAAAUCCUUGACUGGCUGAGUCAAUCACCGGAUCUGAAUCCAACUGAACAUGCAUUUUACAUGCUGAAGAGGAGACUGAAGGCAAAAAGUCCCCGAAACAAACAGGAACUGAAGAUGGCUGCAGUACGGGCCUGGCAGAGCAUCACCAGGGAAGAUACCCAUCGUCUGGUGAUGUCUGUGCAUCGCAGACUUCAAGCAGUCAUGCAUGCAAAGGAUAUGCGACCAAAUAUUAAAAAUGAUUACUUUAUUCUACAUUAUGCUAAGCUGUCCAGUAUUUUUUGAUGCCUGAAAAUGGGGGGGACUAUGUGCAAAAGGUUCUAUAAUUUCUAAACGGUUCAUCCGAUAUGUAUGAAAAUAGCCUCUAAUUAAAGCUGACAGUCUGCACUUCAACCUCAUUGUAUCUUUUCAAACCAAAAAAUGUGUCACUGUCCAAUGAAUUAUGGUGCUUACUGUACAUAUAUCAGGCCUAUUCAACAACUUGUGAAUUAUAUUGAUGUUGGGACUUAGAGUUCUCCAAUAUCUGUAGGCUGAACACAGAAAUAAGCCUUUUUGAUUAUAAGAAACCAUCUCGAGACAAAUAGCCUACUACAGACAGCAAAUUAAAUUAAUUACUUAAUUAAUUAAUUAAUUAAUUAAUUAAUUAAUUAUUUAUUUAACGCUCCACCAGUCUCCCUGCCAGUCACUGACCCAUUAACAUCCUGAAUGAUGGCCCUAUGUAACAUGCUAAUGUGUGAGGGCUGAAAUGUGAGAUCUGACCCACAGUCUCUUUCUCGAGUCGGGAGUAUCCGGAGACGGGACGUGUCAAAAGCAAAAUGGACGGAUCAAAAGCAUGUUUCUAUUGGUCAAUGAUUCGGUGAGUCACGUAUAUUAUCCAAUCAAAAUCAUGAUCCAAAGGCGGUAGAUGUAUCAAGAUGGUUUUGACGUUUCUGAGACGGCAUAUCUGUUUUUGUUGUCGGUCCUGGACGUGAAUAGUAGGCUAUGUCGGUGCGUCAAUUAUGCGCGAAAACAAAAGUUGUGGUAUUUGUGUAAUCUGUUAAUUUACACAAUUUAUUUGAAAAUGGCAUUUGAUCGUCAGUGAUUACGACGCUGAAGUUGGCUCCCGAUUCGCAGCUCCCGACUCGAAAAUUCCGCUCCACCUUAAAUUGGCGAGGUCUCUUUCCAGCAGGUUCUUGUUAUUUUAGCAGAUUCCUGGCACAUUUAAAUGUUUUUGGGACCAGGACUUUGUUUCACGGUCUUUGUCUAAACUAUAUAGCCAAUCUAAUAUGCAGUAAAGUCAUGUUUGGUGUUGAUGGAGAGCUAAUAUCAUGAGCUGUUAGAUGGUCUCAUUCUAUUUUGAGAACGUUGUCAUUCAAAGUUUAUGUGUUACAUGAAAGUGAAACGCCAAUCACGGAAAUUGAGCUAUGCAGUUGUUACACCUGAAAUUGUGAAAAUGGCGACACUAUGUUUGAACAAUUGUCUGAAUCCAGUGCUUUGGAUGCUGUUUGGAAUAAAAUUAUUAUUAUUA